GAGGUCUAUGGUCAACCAGCUGGUGCCGUUUUUUUCGUAAAGAAUUGGUAAAGAAGAAUGAAUGGAAGUGAGUGAAUGAAAUCGUCAUUCGAACAAAAAAAAUACAUGUUUUUCUUAUAAUUUCGUACGAAGGAAUACAAAAUCAUAAUUUAUGUGUGUUUUGGCAGCAAAUACAAUAAAUAAAUGCAAUAAAACAUUUUUCUAUGAAUUUUAAAACAUACAUCUGGCAUUAUUCUAAACCAUAAAAACACAACGUCAAGAUCAUACUUAAAAAAAAAACGUGUAGAGAUUAGGUAUCGUUAGGUUUUCAAAUCAAAAAUACUUAAUAAAACACAAAAAUGACUAAAUAAAAGGACGUCGAUGAAGAGGAAGACCAAGGCGGAACUAGUAAAAGUGGAAGUUGUGUUGUAUCAGAACGACGGAACUCGCUGUGAAUGCAUAUUAACAGUCCUCAACCAACAAGACUCCUAUCUUCUUCUUUGUCGUUCCCACACUGCUGAGGAUCGCGACCACAGGUUAUGGUUUUCCACUUGGUACGGCUAUAUGCUGCGUGCACCGCCCUCUGUAUGCUGCCGUCCACCGUCUUCUUCACGAUGUCAGACCACCUCGUAGGCGCCCUUCCUCGCGCACGUUUGCUAUCCAUUUGCCCAACGAUGAUCUGCUUCUCCAGACUGUGCUUCGGAGACCGCAUAAUAUGUCCGAAGAAGCUUAGGGCACGAUUCCGGCAUAUUGAGGAGAGCCGCGUCGUGAUCUUGAGCUCUUUUAAUAUGGACUCAUUCGUACACGUAAAUAGCCUUAAAUUACCAAGUAGAGAAAGUCCACCAUGAGGUGAGCACGAAGUUUUGAAGACAGGAGUGAUUGUAUUAGAUUUCCUCCUGAGCAGUUGCACUACAAAUUUAGUGAUGAAGAGGCAAUACUUGACAGAAACCUUAAGUUGGAUGACAUAAUUAUAAAGAAAAUCAAUAAGAGGAUGAACUCUUUUAAUGUUUAUAAAACAAUAGUAUGGAAGAAUUUUGAUGCAUCUUGGAGCAAUGGCAACAUAUUUGGGAGUUGAGAGUGACAACGAGCAGAUUACAUAACAAUGGGAGGAUAACAAGGGCCUUAACUGAAAAAACUGGUGAAUGUUCCCAAAUAAACCUCACAGAUGUAGAAGAAAGACAAAAUAAAUUUGUUUAUUUAUUUUAUUUCUGUUCCCUACUAAACUAGUAAUAAAACAUACUUGUUACAAAUA
rnacentral:lncRNA from 1 species